rnacentral:lncRNA from 1 species
CUUUAACUAAAAAAGUGGUUUGCCUGGUAAGUAAUGUAGAAAUCUUGUGACAUGUAAUUUAAAAGUCUUCAGGAUGAAAUUACAGUGUAAGGCAAAUGUAUUGUCAUCAUCAUUGUCAUCAUCAUUACCAUCAUCAUCAUCGUCGUCAUCAUCUUCGUUGUUGUUGUUGUCAUCAUCAUCCUCGUUGUUAUCGUCAUCAUUUGAUAUCAACUUUCCCAUCCAUGCAUGGGUCUAAAGGAAUUUGUUGAAGCAGAUCUACUACAGCCAGAUGUCUCUCCUGUCACCAACCCUUAACUGCUUCCAAGCAAGGUAAUAUUUUCUUUUAGCCAGAUGUAUUCUUGCACAAUAUUACAAAUGAAUUACACUGCUUGUAUGACAGUGACACUCGUUUACAGCUUUCACACCAUAUCAACACAAGGAGACACCAACACACACACACACACACACAUGUACAUAUACAGCGAGCUUCUUCCAGUUUUUUUCUACCAGAUCCACUCACAAGUUUUUGGUCAGUUCAGGACUAUAAUAGAAGCUACUUUCCCAAGGUACCAUGCAGUGGGACUGGAUCCCAAGCCAUGUGGUUAGGAAGCAAACUUCUUAACCGCACCACCAUUGUAUCCCUGCUAAAAUGUUACCUCUGAAGAACUAACUCUGUAGGAAGCGGAGUACAGAGUGAAAAAAAGGGAGGGAAGCUGAUGAAAGUGCCAUGAAUUAAUAAAGUACACUGAAUUAAUACUUAAUAAAGUACCAUGUAUCAUUAAAGUACAAUGAAUUAAUAAAGUACCUUUGAUCAAUGAAGUACAAUGAAAUAAUAUAUAUCAAAGUACCAUAAAUUGACAAACUACCAUCUCUAUAUAUAUAACUGAGAAUGUGCGUAUGCAUUUCUGCCUGUAAAAUCUCUAGAACUACUCAACUGCUUUCAUUCAAAUUUUACACAUGCCUUACUUAUGGUCCAUGCAAUAUCAUAGGCCCAAAAAGUUUUCAACAUCUUGCCUAAUGUGAGCCCGGAGAAAUCUCUUAGCUCUUACACUAUUUUAGUAUUACAUGUCAAAAGUGAAACAAUAACAUCUCUAUUGUAAUGUGAGAUAAUGCUUUCAGUUUUAAUAGGUUUCACUAUUAAUAUUUUCACUUUGUAUAUAUAUAUUACUUUCAUUUCUUUUAUUUUAUUUAUUUACAUACAUGUUUAUAUAUAUGUAUAUAUAUAUGUAUAUACAUAUGUGUGUAUAUGUAUAUACGUAUGUAUAAUAUAUGUAUAUAUAUAUGUAUAUAUAUAUAUGUAUAUAUAUAUAUAUGUAUAUGUAUAUAUAUAUAUGUUAUUACCCUUUUUUGAUUAUAUUCACAUAUUACUUGAUAGAUUUGUUCGUAAAAUUUUUUCCCAGCAUGCCCUAUAUCACCGGGUAGAUUUUGCGUCUGCGCAGAGGUUUGAAAAGUUAAGAUUUACAAGUUGUUUAGAUCAACACAUGGUCUAACGCUCUGUGCAUCUCGAUUUAACAAAGGCGUCUCGCUGAUGAAACCGGCCUUGGCAAACAUAUUCUGUCUGUUUUGCUAGAAAGAGGUAGAAACUGACCAGUCCGGGAUAUAUCGUUAAUGGCAAAUGUUUUUGAUUUUCACUCUCGAUGAAUUUAUCCCUUUUUUGUGUCCCUAGCACUUGGCAUCCUUAUUUAGGAGCCCUUAAUUAUAUUCUAUAUGAAUAAUAUUUUGUCUAAUGACUAAUUCGUCUUUUGUGCUGGGCUACUGGUAGUAAUCUAUGUUAUUACCCUUUUUUGAUUAUAUUCAUAUAUAUAUAUAUAUAUAUAUAUAUAUAUAUAUAUAUAUAUAUAUAUAUAUAUAUAUAUAUAUAUAUAUAUAUAUAUAUAUAUAUAUAUAUAUAUAUAUAUAUAUCUAUAUAUAUAUAUAUAUAUAUAUAUAUAUAUAUAUAUAUAUACAUAGCUAGCCUCACUCAUUUGCAACAUAUGACCAUACCAGUGCAGUUGUCUCUCUUGCACGCCACUUCUGAUGCUUCUUAAAUCCAACUUUUCUCUCAGAGCGCUUACACUCUGUCGUGUAUGCACACUGACAUUGCACAUCCAGCAGAGCAUACUGGCUUCAUUCCUUACAAGCUCAUGCAUGUCCUCAGCAGUCACGGCCCAUGUUUCACUGAUGUGAUCUGAUAGUGACUCAGCAAUUAGAGCAAGGUCAUCAGCAUAGAGGAGCUCCCGGGGGCAUCCUGUCUUGAAUUCCUCUGUUAUUGCCUGGAGGACUAUGAUAAAUAAGAGGAGGCUGAGGAACGAACCUUGGUGGACCCCGACCUCUACCUGGAAUUCUUCACUGUACACGUUGCCAACCCUCACCUUACUGACAGCGUCCCUGUACAUGGCUUGAACAGCUCUUACCUUUCAUCUAUCCCUAGUUUCUGUAUUGACCACCAGAUAAGGGAUCGGGGGACCCCGUCAAAGGCUUUCUCUAUGUCACUGAAAGCCAGGUACAGGAGUUUAUCUUUGGCUAGGUAUUUUUCCUGCAGCUGUCUUACCAGAAAUAUAGCAUCAGUGGUACUUUUCCCUGGUACAAACCUAAACUGCAUCUCAUCUAAACUGACUCUCUCCCUAAUUAGUUGGGCUAUGACCCUCUCCGUGACCUUCAUUACCUGUAAUUAUUUGUAUCUAAAGCGUCACCUUUACCUUUGUAGCAGUUGACUAUGAUGCUGCUACACCAGUCAUUGGGUAUGACUCCUUCAUGUAUCACCUGGUUAACUGUACGGGUGACUAGACUAUAGCCAACACCGCCAGAUAUUUUACGGUGAUUCUUGAUGGUUGGGGGCUUUCCUUGUCUUCAUACUCUUAAUUGCUUUAUCUACCAAGGUACUGUCAAUUCGGAUAGCUGGUCCCUCUGUUGGGUCGACAUUCGGCAGACUCUCUUUCUCCCAUUCAUUCUCUUUAUUGAGUAACCUUUCAUAGUGACAUCUCCAAACCUCUCUAUUUGCAGCCUCCUUUAGUGCAAGUGAACCAUCAUCCAUGCGGACACAUUUCUCUCCUAUGACAUCACGAUUCUCUCUCACACACUGUCUUGCAACACAAAAUACCUCAUGUCUUUGGUCCUCACGGCACAGAACAUUGGCAAAUUUUUUUUAUCUGCUUCCCCUUUGGCUAAAUAAACCUGUCUUCUAGCUUCCCUUGUGGUGAUCUGAUAUGAUUCCCUGCUACCACCAUUCUUUCAGUCCUUCCACGUCUAUUUCUUUUCUCUAGUAGCCCUGUCAACAACAUUGUUCCACCACCAUGCUAUUUUUGGUCGAGAGGGGACUUUGCACCAUCUGGUCAGUGGCCCUCAGUAGGUUGUCGUGUAGAAACUUCCAGUUUUCUUCCACAUAUAUCUUAUAUAUAUAUAUAUAUAUAUAUAUAUAUAUAUAUAUAUAUAUAUAUAUAUAAUAAAUAAUAAACUACAAUGAAUUAAAAAGUACAAUGAAUUAAUAUAUAACAAAGAAUCAUAAAUUAAUAAUGUACAAUUAAUUAAAAUAUGACAAGUACAAGGAAUUAUUAAGGUACCAUGAAUUCAUAAAGUAGAAUGAGUUAAUAAAGUACUAUGAAUUAAUAUAUAAUCAAGUACCAUACAUUCAUAAUUUACUAUACAUUAUAUUAUUGGAGAAUUAUUUCCUCUUUCAUUAUUGUGUCAUGUUCAAGAACAAGGUACUUAACACUUAAUAGCCGUAUUUUGUAGCUUUACAUAGAGUUAAAUGUGAUAAGUGUAGGGAAGAACUUUAAAGCAAUUGUUUACCCCCACCACACACACACACUUCCAGGUCAAACAAAUCAAACUCAUCCAUGAUGGUCAUGACAUUCCGGUUGUAACCAUCUUGUUAUUUUAAUGGGGAGUGAAGAAUUACAUUAUCUAAUGCAUCCUUCUUUUUUGAAGAUGGUAGAAUGUGAUUUGAAGGAAAUUUGACUGUUACUUCUAUUCAUGUUGAAAACUUCAUUUCCAUUAGCUCUAACUGAUUAGAAUUUUGUUGGCCGAAUGUCAUCACUAACAACCCAUCCACCACCUGAAAAAUUUACCCAAAUACAGGUAAAUAGUUAAGUUACGAUUAACAUAUCUGACAGUGCAGGGAGCUUUAAAAAAAGGGAUACCUGACUACAAAUAAAUGGAUAACGUGGAAAAAAAAAUGUUUGGCAAGCACUAAUAUUUUGUAUCAGGAAAUAAAAGAAAGCAACUCUAAACAUAUUUUGAUGCUUUUCUGACUUCAUCAAUAAAGCAGAGAUUUUGCUUUUCUGGCUGAAUUAAUAACUAUAGAAUCACUGAGUGUAUAUAAAACAAUGUACAUAGAAAAACAAGUAACAUUCAGAGAAUAUUACUCAGAGACACCAUUGCAGGAAAAAUAAUAGCUAAGUUAAUGCUGACAUGUUUAAUGCAAGGAGCAGUAAAAACCUAACCAUCAAGUAAACAUCAUCAUCAUCAUCAUCAUCAUCAUCAUCUUUUAACAUCUAUGUCCCAUGCUAGGUUAGAUGAAUUGAGAGGAUUUAAUGGGUCCUAGGACUGCACCAUGCUCCAGUGUCUGCUUUGACAUGGUUUCUACAGCUGGAUUUUACAGAGUGUAUUGGUUGCCUUUUCUCAUGGCACUAGAAUUAUGGAGGUCAUUAUGCAGCUUGCAAGACAAAAAUCUCCCUCAUUGAAUGAGGCUGCAAUAGAGAGGGCUUCAUUCCUUGUCAAUUCUUUCUAAAGAGCAAGAAAUAACAGAAAAUCUGAAGAUCCCUAAGAUUACAUGAGUUCUUUCCAGUAGUUCCAACAGCUAAACUAAUGUUAAAUAUUGAUUUCAAAUUUUGGCACAAGGUCAGCAAGUUCAGGGAAGUGGGUAAGUCAAUUACAUAAACCCCGGUACUCAAUUGGUACUUAUUUUAUUGACCCCUAAAGGAUGAAAGGCAAAAUCUGGGUAGAAUUUGAACUCAGAAUGUGAAGACAGACAAAAUGCUGCUAAGCAUUUCACCUGGCAUGAUAUUUGAAUUUUUUAUUGUUAGAUAAAAUUUAUCAAACUAUUUCUCUGUUAUUUAUGACUCUCUACACUCCUUACCAUUUUCUCUUUUAUUGUGCUGUAUGUUCUACUACAUGUUUCGUAGAAUGAUACAUUAAGGAGAUUUUUUUAUAAUUACUACAGGAUUGCUUGAAUCCAUAUACUGUGACUUAAAUAGAUAUGUACAGGGUGCGUUAGAUAUUUGAAGACAGAUUUAUGUUGAUAAAACAACAGAUAUAUAAUUACAGAUAAUAACUUCAUUUAUCAAAAAUGCUAUGAGGAUAAAAAAAAAACCUUUUCUAUAAAGUUAUUCAAUAAAGCCACCUUCAGCUUCAACAACUGCUUCUGUAUGAGAUCUUAAUCAUCUACAUGCUCAAAUCAAGUAGUCCUGGUUCAUUUUGGACAUUACUCUGACUCUGGCAACUUUCAUAGAAUCUUUGGUGUUAUGGGCUUGUUCAUUGACCUCUCUCUCAACAAUGCUACAUACAUAGUAGUCCAAUGGAUUGAGAUCUGGGGAAUUAGAAGGCCAAAUGUUAGGAGUUAUGUGAUGAGGAAAAUUUUCAGCCAUCCAUUCCUGUGUUACUAGAGUCAUGUGUGAUAGUGCAGUCUUAAUGAAACACAUAUAGCCUUCAAUUGCAAGCAGUCUAUUAUUAUUUCCAGGACCUCAAUGUAGGCAGCAGAGUUAACUCUAAGGCCUUGUGGAAAGAAGUAAAGAGGCAUCAUAUGUCCUUCAUUGCUGACAACCCCUAAAACCAUGACAGCUGCAGGAAAUUUUGUAUGCAAAACACUUGGAACUUCAGAGGGGUAUACGCAUAACCAUUUGUCAUUUCUUCUGUUAACUUUUUGAUCUUGGUCGAAGUUUUUCUCAUUUGAGAAAAACCAAAUCAAAUCUUCUUCUGCUAGAUUUUUCAGUUUGUUUAAGAGCCUUUUAGAUAUGAUGUAAUGAUUUUCUUUUGUUUUAUCUGACAAAUUGACCUUUCCUCAUCAUAUAAGACUUGCGGACAACAUUUCUGACUGUUCCUUCUGACACACGGAGAUCUUUUGCAAUUGACCUCAUGGACUUUCUGGGAUUGUAAUCAAUGUUCUGUUGAACUUGCUGGAUAAAUUCAAAGCUUUUUAUGCUUUGAUAUUGGUAAUACAUUUCCAUCUUCAGUCUCUUGCUUCUUACAAACUUUGUAGAUGAAAGAUCUGGCAACUUUUAAAAAUUGAGAUAUUUCUAAAUCACUAUGCUCAGCCUUUAUAACCACAAUAACAGCAUGCCUCUUCAUUUCUUGAGUAAGCUGAGGGUCUGCCAUUAUAAUUUUCUGAAACAAAGAUUAUACAGCAUUAGCAAAAAUCAGCAAUGACCCAAAAAUGUAUGCCCUCAGAUACCUUAUGCUACUUGUAUACACAGACACACAGACACACACACACACACACAUAUCAUGAUCACCAUCAUUAAAUGUUUGUUUGUCAUAAUGGUACACACACAUGCAUAUGUAUAAUAGGCAUUUUUCAGUUUUCAUUAACCAAAGCUAUUUACAAGGCUUUGGUAGACCUAGGACUAAGGUAGAGGACACUUGUCCAAGGUGACAUGCUAUGGGACUGAAUUUGAACUAUGUAGUUGGGAAGCAAGCCAUGCCUGCACCUAUAGUCUCUCUCUCUCUCUCUCUUACACACGCACACACACAUGUACACACACAUGCACAUGCGCGCACACGCACACACACACACACACACACACACACACACAUGUAUGUGUAUAUAUAUAUAUAUAUAUAUAUAUAUGUAUAUUUAUGAACGGCAACAGGAAACUCAGAGUAACAGGUUUUGUUGAAUUUUCUCUGCUGCUUUAAAUAAAGUAUAUAUAUAUAUAUAUAUAUAUAUAUAUAUAUAUAUAUAUAUAUAUAUAUAUAUAUAUAUAUAUAUAUAUAUAUAGGGGUUACUAUAUAAAUAAAUUUUUUUAUAUAUUUAUUAAUCAUAUAAGAUUUUUAGAAUAUAUUUAAUAAUUAGUGGUUUUUAAUCAUUUAAAUCAUUUAUUUAUUUUGUAUUGAGUAUUAUUUAUCAUAGUUUUUUUUGUUAAUAAAUAUUAUAGUAUAGAGAGAUUUUAUUCUUUAUUUGUGACUUCAUUCUAUUUACAAUGAUAAACCAAUAAUUUUCCCAUUCACAAUCUCAUUGAUAAAGCAUAGGUUCUUCACGCUUAAUGAAUUCUUCAACAAUUUAUUCUUUUUUUUGCUAAUAACGUAAUUCCACGAGUAUUCUUAUAAACGCUGUAAAGACGUUUUCCGAUUCAAAAUUUUAGUUCAUUGCUAAACCUCGCUAAGAUAAGUAUGUAUUUAUUUAAGAUCUUCAAAUUGUAAAUUUUAAUAUUGUAUAAGUCUUUGGAGUACUAAUAUUUUCCUUAUGUAAAUAUCGUUGUUUAUGUAAUGAUCUAAUUAUCGUAAUUUUCUCUAUUAUUAGAUAUUAAAUUUAAGUUUAUUCGUAAGAUACUACUUAGCGAUAGAUUUGUUAUUUGAUAGCAAGCAUACGAGGUGUAUUAAGUUAGGCUUUUGUAUAUACAUGUUUUAAUAGUAUUAAUUGUAGUUUUAAAUUUAUAAUUAAAUUAGAUAAACUUUGAUAAACUUAGAUAUGUUUCGACUAAAGAUUGGUCCAGGCCAUGUCUAAUUUAAUAGCAUAACUUAGUUAUUUCUUUAAAUUGAUAUUCGCUAGUUAUUCCCAUUGAUAAUUAUAUUUAUAGUAUUUAUAGUAUUUAUUCGAUACUAUAUUACUACGAAUUGAUUAUUUCUAUAAGUAUUUUACAUAAGAUUUCCGAAAGUUCGUUUAAGUUUGUUUAUUUGUAUUUUGAAAUUAGCUAUUUCAUCUUUAAAUAUGAAAAUUUAAUUUAUUAGGUUUUUAUUAUAUGUGCAUAUAUAUUUAUUUAUAGAGAUUAUUUUAGAUUUUAAUUAUAAUAUUUAUAUACAUUUAUAUAUUUUCAUUGAUAAUUUAUAUAUAUUAGUCAUUUUUAAAUAUUUAUGUAAUUAGAUAUAGACUAAUACCGAUAUUAGAUUAUUGGUGGGUUUCCUACCUUAUAAAUUAAAAUUAAUAUUUAACAUUAUAGUCGAUUUUGAUAUAAUCAUAAUUGUUAAGUUUUAUGUUUCUAGUUUGAUAAUAGAGUUUAUUAUAAGUAAAAUUAUUAUAUUAUUUAUAUCUUAAAAAUAUUGUUUAAAUAUUUCUGAUUAUAUUUUAGAUAUUUCAAUUAACCUGAAGAUUGACUGUAACCAUAACUCGAAUUAUUACGAAUUGUACAGCCAUGAAAUGAUCGUAGUGUUUUACUCUUUAUCUUUUAUUAAACUUUUAAUAGUUUUGAUAUAUAUUUAAAAUAAUAUAAAUUAAUUAAUUUUAUGUAUUGGCUUAUGUUUUUUCAUUGUUUGAUUUGCCUAAUAGUGGUUUUAUCUCUAAUUUAAUAUAAUAUAAUAUAAUAUAUUUUACUAUAAAAUUGGAUUUAAUCCUAAAUCUGAUUUUUCCCUGUAAGUUUGGAUUUAUUCCCUAAUAUUUUAUUAUUAAUAUAUAUAUAUAUAUAUAUAUAUAUAUAUAGAGAGAGAGAGAGAGAGAGAGAUAGAUAGAUAGAUAGAUAGAUAGAUAGAUAGAUAGAUAGAUAGAUAGAUAGAUAGAUAGAUAGAUAGAUAGGUAGGUAGGCAGGUAGGUAGGUAGGUAGGUAGGCAGGCUUGCAGUUGGGGAACUAUGGUGCUACAGUUGGUAGACAUGACAUACGUCUAUAAAUCCUGUCUAUGUUGUAUAUUGGGAGGGUCAUUUUUGUCAAUAAAAACACACUGACUCUAUUUCGUUUCUGAUUAGUCAACUACUAUGCAAUUACGUUUGUUCCCAUACAUUUUAGUUAAAGACAUUGUUUUUUUGUGUGACAAUCACCUGAAAGGAGAAAUAGGUCAUUCAGAUGUUUACACAUACACACACGCACGUACAUGCGCACACAUUACAAGUGGUUCAUUUUAUACCAAAAUCAUAAGUGGUCCAUCAAGUUCCUGUUUGUCUGGGAAUUCCAAGCUAGACGGAACUUAUAGUUUAACUUAGUGUGCCGUAUGGGGGGAUCUAAUACAGAGUGGUAGAAGGGUAGCAAAUGCAUCUUUAAUUGCUCUCUCUUUUACUCUUUUACUUAUUUCAGUCAUUUGCUGUGGCCAUGCUAGAGCAUGGCCACAGUAAAUGUUACAGGGAUGUAAACACACCAGCAUCAGUUGUCAAGUGAUGUUGGGGGGACAAACACAGACACACAAACACACACACACACAUAUAUAUAUAUAUAUGCAUAUACAUAUAUACAACAGGCUUCUUUCAGUUUCUGUCUACCAAAUCCACUCAAAAGGCUUUGGAUGGCCCGAGGCUAUAGUAGAAGACACUUGCCCAAAGUGCCAUGCAGUAGGACUGAACCCAGAACCAUGUGGUUGGUAAGCAAGCUACUUACCACACAGCCACUCCUGCGCCUAACUGUACAUUAUUUACAUUUGACAGAUAUGUGUCCUCAUCUUUGUUGUUAACACAUUUCGGCUGAUAUACCCUCCAGCCUUCAUCAGGUGUCUUGGGGAAAUUUUGGAAUCUGGGUUCUCAUUCCUAAGGUAUUUUUUGAUGUAGUUAUUAUUAUUAUUAUUAUUAUUAUUAUUAUUAUUAUUAUUAUUAUUGUGAGUUCACAGCUGUAACCUGUGUCGCAUAAUCAGCCCACUUAAAAGUACCUUGGAUUGUAGGGUGACAUGCUGUGCUUGAGGAGACCUAUUGAGUCAAGUACAUCAAAACCAAAAUCAAAUGGAAAUUGUAGUUGUGAUACCCGUGCCGGUGGCACAUAAAAAGCACUGGCCGAACAUGGCCAAUGCCAGUGCUGCCUUGACAGACUUCUGUGCUGGUGGCACAUAAAAAGCACCAACCGAUUGUGGUCGUUGCCAGCUGCCUCUGGCCCUUGUGCCGGUGGAACAUAAAAAGCACCCACUACACUCUUGGAGUAGUUGGUGUUAGGAAGGGCAUCCAUCUGUAGAAACACUGCCAGAUCAGACUGGAGCCUGGUGCAGCCUUCUGGCUUCCCAGACCCCAGUUGAACCGUCCAACCCAAGCCAGCAUGUCAAACGGACGUUAAACGAUGAUGAUGAUGGUAACCCCUUUGUUUGUACCUUGUUUAUCUUCACUCCACCUCUGGGCAACAUCUUAAGACUGCCAUUACCUUAUCUUUAACACUCCUCUCUUAUCUGCUAUCAUUCUCAUCAUUCUAGCAUUUCUACCAUUGACAAAUUCCUCACAACCCUUGUCCCUCCACUCACUAUAGCUACCCCCAAUGUACAUCUGACAUCUAUCUCUAUCACUGUAUGUCUGUCUCUAUUUCCCCCAAGUCUCCCACCCAACUCAUCAUCAUUUAAUGUCUGCUUUUCAUACUGGCAUGGGUUGGACAAUUUGACAAAUCUGAAGGUUCCAAGGGCUACAUCAUACUCCCAUGUCUGCAGAAGAGAGUAGUUACCAUAUAAACCUGCUAGUUAUUGUAUACACCUCCAAGUUACCAUAUACACCUGCUAGUUACUAUAUACACCUGCUUGUUACCAUAUGCACCAGCUAAUUACUAUAUGCACCAGCUAGUUACUAUACACACCUGCUAGUUUCUAUAAACACUGACUAGUAAUGGUGUGCACUUGCUAGAUCCCAUAUACAUCUGCUAGUUAUCAUAUGCAUCUGCUACUUACUAUAUACACAUUUUAAUUACUAUAUACACAUUUGAGUUGGUAUACACACCUGCUAGUUACCAGAUGCACCUGCUAGUUAUUAUAUAUAUCUAUUAGUUACUAUAUACCCAUUUUAAAUAUCAUAUACACCUUCGAGUUACUAUAUACACCUGCCAGUUACCAUAUGCACCAGCUAGUCACUCAAUAGACCUAUUAGUUACUACAUACAUCUUGUUAAUCUGUACACCAGGUAGUUACCAUAUGCACCAUCUAGUUCCUAUAUGCAGCAGUUUGUUACUAUAUGCAACUUCUAGUUACUAUAUACAGCUGCUACAUACUAUGUACACCUAGUUACCAUAUACACCUGGUAGUUAAUAUACACCAGAUAGUACAAUAUACACCAGCUAGUUGCCAUAUACAACUUCUAGUUACUAGACAUACUUGCUGGUUAGUAUAUAUGCACCUCCUAGUCACUACAUACACCAGCUACUUACCAUAUAGACCUGCUACAUAACAUAUACACAAGCUAGUUACUAUAUACACCUACUAGCUACUAUAUACAUAAGUUUGUUAUUCUAUACACCUGCUAGAUGCCAUAUACAAAUUCUAGUUACUAUAUACACCUGCUAAUUACUAUAUGCACAUUCUAGUUAUUAUACACAUCUGCUAGUUACCAUAUACACUUGGUACUUUCUAUAUACACCUGCUAGUUAUCAUAUGCACCUCCUAGUUAAUAUAUACAACUGCUAAUUACUAUAUACAUCAGCUAGUUACCAUAUACAAUGCUACUUACUAUAUACACCUUCUAGUUACCAUAAUCACCUGCUACUUACUAUAUGCAGCUAUUAGUUACUAUAUACACCUGCUAAGUACUAUGUACACCUAGUUACUAUAUGCACCUGCUAAUUACCAUAUACACCUGGUUGCUACUAUACGCACCAGUGAGUUUCUACACACACCUGUUAGUUACUAUAUGUAUAUUCUAGUUACCAUAUGCACCUGCUAUUUACUAUUUACACCUAUUAGUUGCUAUACACACCUUUUAGUUACUAGAUACACCUGGUACUUACGAUAUAUACCAGUUACUUAACAUUCACACUAGCUAGUUACUAUAUGCACCUGCUAGUUACUAUUUGCAGCAGCUAUUUACCAUAUACACCUGUUAGUUAUUAUAUACACAUGUUAAUUACCAUAUGCACCUGCUAGUUACUAUAUAUACCAGCUAUUUACUAUAUACAUCUUCAAAUUACUAUAUACAGCAGCAAGGUACCAUAUAUUACAUGCACCUGCUAAUUGCUAUAUGCACCUGCUUGUUACUUAUAUACACCUACUGGUAACCAUAAACACCUGUGAGUUACUACAUACAACUGCUAGUUACUAUAUUCAUUUUCUAGCUACUAUUCACACUAGCCAGUUAUGAUAUACAGUCGCUAGUUACCAUAUGCACUUGCUAGUUACUAUAUACAUCUUCUAGUUACUAUAUUCAUUUUCUAGCUACUAUUCUCACUAGCCAGUUAUGAUAUACAGCUGCUACUUACCAUGUGCACUUGCUAGUUACUAUAUACAUCUUCUAGUUACCAUAUGCAUGUUCUAGUUGCUAUAUACACCAGCUAGUUACUAUUAAGUUUUUCGGAAAAUAAUGGCUGAUUUUAAAAUGAAGCUUAUAUUAUUGAAACAUUGAUACCAGUUAUAUGAAACAUUUCUCUGACUCUUUGUCAUGGGUUUUGUUUGAAUAUUGUUUUUAAAUGCUGAUCAUCAACGUCGGAUGGAUGUCCUCUAACUACUUGAUCUUCAAGGCUCUCAACCUCACUAUAGAAUCUCUCGAACCACUGUUUCACUGUCCAAUCACUAGUAGAACCUUCAUCCCAUGCUCUGUUGAUAUUGGUGGCUGUUUUGGGAAGCAUUAUGUCCAAGAUGGAAUUCAUUGAAAAAAAUAAAUGCAUUUCUUCUUUUUUCAUGAUUGAAAUUAAGGAUUUCUAUGCUUCAAAAUGAUAUUCUGAAAGAAAUCAAUAAAAAUUUAUUAAAGAGUAUACUUCAGUUAUGAUCCAUGUAAAAUUUCAUUUAAAACACAACAAAAUAAAAUCUUAAAUCAGGUAUAUAGAGUAACUAGGUGUAUAUAGUAGCUGACAAGUGUAUAUAGUAACUAGCAGUUGCAUAUGGUAACUAGAAGUUAUAUAUAGUAACUAGUAACUGCAUAUGGUAACUAGCAGGUGUAUAUGGUAACUUGCUGCUGUAUGUAGUACUUACAAGAUGUAUAUGGCAAUUAGCUAGUGCAUAUAGUAAGUAGCAGGUGCCUAUGGUAACUAGCAGGUGUAUGUAGUAACUAACAGGUGUAUAUGGUAACUAGAUGGUGUAUAGAGUAACCAGCAUCUGUAUAUAGUAACUAGAAGGUGUAUAUAGUAACUAACAGUUGUAUAUACUAACUAGCAGGUGUAUAUGGUAACUAACAAAGGUAUAUAGGAACUAGCAGGGCAAUAUGGUAACUACCAGGUGCAUAUUGCUACUAGCAGGUGUAUAUAAUAACUACCAGGUGUAUAUGUCAACUAGCUGGUGUAUAUGGUAACUAGCAGGUGCAUAUAAUAACUAGCAGGCGUAUAUGGUCACUGACUGGUGUAUAUGGUAUCUAGAGGUAUAUAUACGAGGGAUGUCUGAAAAGUUUUGAGCCUAACCUAGAAACAGGGCUGCUAGGUAGCUGAAACAAUUUUUUCUGGUAAGUACAGUCUUUUAGGAGUAUUCUUGCUCAUUUUCAUGAUUCUGAUAUUUAAAUUUUUUUUGUUGCAGAUGUUUGAAUAAACAAAUGUCAAGGUAACAAGGAAAAUGGAGAAAACUGAGUAUCAUGCUGUCAUAAAUUACCUUCAUUUGAAAGGCCUGACUCCAUCAGAAAUCCAUGAAGAUAUGGUGAGAACCUUAACAGACAAUGCUCCUUGAUAGGCAACAGUCAUAUGCUGGGUAAAUGAAUUCCAGCGUGGCAGGGAGAGUGUGGAAGAUGAUCCCUGACCAGGGAGACCUCCAAUUGCAACCACCGAGGACAACAUUAACCUUGCUCUAGGUAUGAUAAUGCAAGAAUGUCAAAUAUCAUGUCGCCAGAUAGCCAAGAGACUGGGCAUCUCAACUGAAAGAGCAGACAACAUUGUGACAAAAGAACUUGAGUUCUCAAAGGUUUCUGCAAGGUGGGUCCUUCGCCUUUUGACUCCUGUACAGAAACGCACCAGGUGCACUUUGUCCACGAGGAAUCUGAAACUGCUUGAAGCUGAUGAAGAGAAUGUUCUUGCUUGUUUCACUACUAUGGACGAAAGUUGGGUUCAUCAUUACCAGCCUGAAACCAAAGAACAAUCAAAGCAGUGGAAGCACACAUCUUCUACCCCAAAGAAGGCCAGGGUUAUUCCUUCAGCUGGCAAGUUCAUGGUGUCAGUUCUUUUGGAUUCGCAAGGUGUCUUGCUGAUUGAUUACCUUGAAAAGGGUCACACUGUGACAGGGCUGUAUUAUUCUCAGCUACUGAAAUGCCUCCAAGAAGCAAUCAAAGAAAAAAGGCCGGGAAUGCUCACCAGAGGAGUUCUUUUUCCUCAUAACAAUGCUCCAGCCCACACCUCAGUGGUUGCCAUGGCAACAAUUCGUGAUUGUGGAUACAAACUUGUUCUCCAUCCGCCUUAUUCGCCAGACUUAGCCCCCUCUGACUUUUAUCUAUUCCCCAAAAUGAAAAAAACCCUGGCUGGUCGCCAUUUUGUCAGUGACAAUGACGUCGUAGACACUGUAGGAAGCUUCUUGCAGUCUCAAACAAAAGUGUUCCUCUACGCCGGGAUAAUGGUGCUUCAGCACUGCUGGAGAAACUGUUCAGUCAUCG